rnacentral:ribozyme from 12 species
AGGAUGGAAGGAAACAAACAAAAAAGACAAACAACGGAGAGAUCGAGAUCAUUUGAGUGUGUGUGUGUGUGUGUGUGUGCAUAUUGUUAUCUUGCUUGCUUGUUUAUUCCUC